AACAUACAGGCUAAAAGGCCACAAAGGGAAUCAGCCACCGGCCACUCCUAGACCCAGAACAUCCGGAAAAGGUGUUCGCACCUUUUCUGUUGUCUGAAGAGCAACGUUGAAGACCUUCCUGUGCCUCCUGACAGAAAUGAGAGCUGUUUGAAGUGGACGCCGCGGCUACCUACAAUUUGGGAGACCUGCACUGAGUUGGACCCAUCGGAAGAAUUCCAUCCGAUGGGGACGGCUCGGAGCCCAGUGCAGGAGGGAAGCGGUGACUGCCUUUCAGGAGAGGAAAGGCAGGAGCACCACAGGCCACGGCUGUCCACCAUUUUGGAGACCUCCACUGAGUUGG